AAAGGGCGUGAAAACGACAAUGUUCUGGUUGUGGAAGUACUGCCAUUAUCCUACUGAGAGAAAAGAUCAUGUUGGCCAUCUUUGGUUGUCUCUGUUGGGGUAAAAUGAUUCGUCAUCAGGCACACUU
rnacentral:snoRNA from 1 species